rnacentral:sRNA from 1 species
UCGUCGUGCGAAUCGUUUCGCCGCCCUGC